CGCAAGUGCGACGGGGGACCCCAAGUGCCACUCUUAACGGGGUGGCUUUUCAGAAGUGUAAAAAGCUUCUGGAAUAAGGGCUGGGCAAGACCGGUGCCAGCCGCCGCGGUAACACCGGCAGCUCAAGUGGUAGCCGCUUUUAUUGGGCCUAAAGCGUCCGUAGCCGGUCUGAUAAGUCUCUGGUGAAAUCCCACAGCUUAACUGUGGGAAUUGCUGGAGAUACUAUCAUGACUCGAGGUCGGGAGAGGCUGGAGGUACUCCCAGGGUAGGGGUGAAAUCCUGUAAUCCUGGGAGGACCACCUGUGGCGAAGGCGUCCAGCUGGAACGAACCUGACGGUGAGG
rnacentral:rRNA from 1 species